UUGCUCCUACGGGACGCAGCAGUAGGGAAUUUUCGUCAAUGGGCGCAAGCCUGAACGAGCAAUGCCGCGUGAACGAGGAAGGUCUUCGGAUCGUAAAGUUCUGUUGAAGGGGAAAAAGAGCGGAGAGAGGAAAUGCUUUCUGAUUGAUAUUACCCUUCGAGGAAGUCACGGCUAACUACGUGCCAGCAGCCGCGGUAAUACGUAGGUGGCGAGCGUUAUCCGGAAUGAUUGGGCGUAAAGGGUGCGUAGGCGGCCUGCUAAGUCUGGAGUGAAAGGUACCGGCUCAACCGGUACAGGCUCUGGAA
rnacentral:rRNA from 1 species